rnacentral:rRNA from 1 species
UACGGGGGGGGGCAAGCGUUGUUCGGAAUUACUGGGCGUAAAGGGCUCGUAGGCGGCCAACUAAGUCGGAUGUGAAAUCCCCAGGCUCAACUUGGGAACUGCAUCCGAUACUGGAUGGCUUGAAUUCGGGAGAGGGAUGCAGAAUUCCAGGUGUAGCGGUGAAAUGCGUAGAUAUCUGGAGGAAUACCGGUGGCGAAGGCGGCAUCCUGGACCGACAUUGACGCUGAGGAGCGAAAGCUAGGGGAGCAAACAGG